rnacentral:rRNA from 1 species
UACGUAGGGUGCAAGCGUUAAUCGGAAUUACUGGGCGUAAAGCGUGCGCAGGCGGUUUUGUAAGCCAGAUGUGAAAUCCCCGGGCUUAACCUGGGAAUGGCAUUUGGGACUGCAAGGCUGGAGUUUGGCAGAGGAGACUGGAAUUCCUGGCUGUAGCAGUGAAAUGCGUAGAUAUCAGGAGGAACACCGGUGGCGAAGGCGACUACCUGGCCUGUUCUUGACGCUGAGGCGCGAAAGCUAGGGGAGCAAACGGG